rnacentral:rRNA from 1 species
GCUCGCAUGGGAGAAGUCUGACGGAGCACGCCGCGUGAGUGAUGAAGGUUUUCGGAUCGUAAAGCUCUGUUGUUAGGGAAGAACAAGUACCGUUCGAAUAGGGCGGUACCUUGACGGUACCUAACCAGAAAGCCACGGCUAACUACGUGCCAGAGCCGCGGUAAUUGAUGCUCUGUCAGA